rnacentral:rRNA from 1 species
UGCAAUGCGGGAGGCUACCAUGCAAGUCGACGGCAGCACAGGAGAGCUUGCUCUCUGGGUGGCGAGUGGCGGACGGGUGAGGAAUACAUCGGAAUCUACUUUUUCGUGGGGGAUAACGUAGGGAAACUUACGCUAAUACCGCAUACGACCUACGGGUGAAAGCAGGGGAUCUUCGGACCUUGCGCGAUUGAAUGAGCCGAUGUCGGAUUAGCUAGUUGGCGGGGUAAAGGCCCACCAAGGCGACGAUCCGUAGCUGGUCUGAGAGGAUGAUCAGCCACACUGGAACUGAGACACGGUCCAGACUCCUACGGGAGGCAGCAGUGGGGAAUAUUGGACAAUGGGCGCAAGCCUGAUCCAGCCAUACCGCGUGGGUGAAGAAGGCCUUCGGGUUGUAAAGCCCUUUUGUUGGGAAAGAAAUCCAGCUGGUUAAUACCCGGUUGGGAUGACGGUACCCCAAGAAUAAGCACCGGCUAACUUCGUGCCAGCAGCCGCGGUAAUACGAAGGGUGCAAGCGUUACUCGGAAUUACUGGGCGUAAAGCGUGCGUAGGUGGUCGUUUAAGUCCGUUGUGAAAGCCCUGGGCUCAACCUGGGAACUGCAGUGGAUACUGGACGACUAGAG